UCAGCUCAGCUUUAGAGGCACUGGCCUUCUGUUUGGGCUUCCUGCCACAACAGAACAGCACUAUGGCCAUGGCCUUCCUCUCCCGGCUGAACCUUCAGGAAAUCCUCCAGACCCUCUCUGUUUUGCAGUGGGUGCCAGUCUACAUCUUUUUAGGAGCUAUUCCUAUUAUCCUUAUACCCUACUUUCUGGUGUUCACUAAGUUCUGGAUGGUGUCUGUGCUCGCCUUAGCCUGGCUCGCCUAUGACUGGAACACCCACAGUCAAGGUGGUAGACGUUCAGCUUGGGUACGAAACUGGACAAUCUGGAAAUAUUUCCAAAAUUACUUCCCAGUAAUGCUGGUGAAGACUCAUGACCUCUCUCCCAGACAAAACUAUAUCAUUGCCAGCCACCCCCAUGGCAUACUCCCUUAUGGUAUCUUCAUCAACUUUGCCACUGAGACCACUGGCUUUGCUCGGAUUUUCCCAGCCAUCACUCCUUAUAUAGCGACCUUGGAAGGGAUCUUCUGGAUCCCAAUUGUGCGAGAAUAUGUGAUGUCAAUGGGUGUGUGCCCAGUGAGUGAGUUGGCCUUGAAGUAUUUGCUGACCCAGAAAGGCUCAGGCAAUGCUGUGGUUAUUGUGGUGGGUGGAGCUGCUGAAGCCCUCUUGUGCCACCCAGGAGCCUCUACUGUCUUCCUUAAACAGCGUAAAGGUUUUGUGAAGGUGGCACUGAAGACAGGAGCAUACCUUGUCCCUUCCUAUUCCUUUGGACAGAAUGAAGUUCACAAUCAAGAGACCUUCCCUGAGGGCACGUGGAAAAGGUUCUUCCAAAAAACCUUCCAGAACACAUUCAAAAAAAUCCUGGGACUAAAUUUCUGUACCUUCCAUGGCCGGGGCCUCAUUCGAGGAUCCUGGGGAUUCCUGCCUUUCAAUCAUCCCAUUACCACAGUUGUUGGGGAGCCCCUGCCAAUUCCCAAGAUAAAGAAGCCAAACAAGGAGACAGUGGACAAGUACCAUGCACUCUACAUCAAUGCCCUUCGGAAGCUGUUUGAUGAGCACAAAGUUCAAUAUGGUCUGUCUGAGACCCAGGAGCUGACAAUCGUCUAA
rnacentral:lncRNA from 1 species